rnacentral:rRNA from 1 species
AGGAGCUCGNGUCCGAUUAGNUANUUNGNNGGGUAAAAGCUUACCAAGGCANCGAUCGGUAGCUGGUCUGAGAGGAUGAGCAGCCNCNCNNGGACUGAGNCACGGCCCAGNCUCCUACGGGAGGCAGCAGUGGGGAAUUUUCCGCAANGGGCGNAANCCUGACGGAGCAAUACCGCGUGAGGGAGGAAGGCUUUUGGGUUGUAAACCUCUUUUUUCAAGGAAGAAGNAAGUGACGGUACUUGAAGAAUCAGCAUCGGCUAACUCCGUGCCAGCAGCCGCGGUAAUACGGAGGAUGCAAGCGUUAUCCGGAAUCAUUGGGCGUAAAGCGUCCGCAGGNGGNUGNUCAAGUCUGCUGUCAAAGACNNGAGCUUAACUUNGGANAGGCAGUGGAAACUGGUAAGCUAGAGUACGGUAGGGGUUGAGGGAAUUCCCAGUGUAGCGGUGAAAUGCGUAGAUAUUGGGAAGAACACCAGUGGCGAAGGCGCUCAACUGGNCCGUAACUGACACUCA